GACGAACGCUGGCGGCGUGCUUAACACAUGCAAGUCGAACGGUGACGAGGAGCUUGCUCCUCCGAUCAGUGGCGAACGGGUGAGUAACACGUGAGUAACCUGCCCCAGACUCUGGGAUAACAGUUGGAAACAGCUGCUAAUACCGGAUACGAGACGGAGAGGCAUCUCUACCGUCUGGAAAGUUUUUCGGUCUGGGAUGGACUCGCGGCCUAUCAGCUUGUUGGUGAGGUAAUGGCUCACCAAGGCGACGACGGGUAGCCGGCCUGAGAGGGCGACCGGCCACACUGGGACUGAGACACGGCCCAGACUCCUACGGGAGGCAGCAGUGGGGAAUAUUGCACAAUGGGCGAAAGCCUGAUGCAGCGACGCCGCGUGAGGGAUGACAGCCUUCGGGUUGGUAAACCUCUUUCAGCAGGGAAGAAGCGAAAGUGACGGUACCUGCAGAAGAAGCACCGGCUAACUACGUGCCAGCAGCCGCGGUAAAGUAGUCGUG
rnacentral:rRNA from 1 species